rnacentral:rRNA from 1 species
AAUGAACGCUGGCGGCGUGCCUAACACAUGCAAGUCGAGCGAGAAAACCCUUCGGGGUGAGUAAAGCGGCGGACGGGUGAGUAACACGUGAGAACCUUCCCUUUAGUGAAGAAUAUCUUUGAGAAAUCAAAGUUAAUGCUGCAUGAGUCCCGAAAGGGAGAAAGAUGGCUUUUAUGCUGUCGCUGAAGGAUGGGCUUGCGGACUAUUAGCUAGUUGGUGGGGUAAUGGCUCACCAAGGCAGUGAUGGUUAACCGGCUUGAGAGGGUGUACGGUCACAUUGGAACUGAGAAACGGUCCAGACUCUUACGGGAGGCAGCAGUGGGGAAUAUUGCGCAAUGGGCGAAAGCCUGACGCAGCGACGCCGCGUGGGGGAUGAAGGCCUUCGGGUUGUAAACUCCUGUUAGGUGGGAAGAAAGCCUCUUUUUUAAUAGAAAAGAGGUAUGACGGUACCAUCAGAGAAAGCACUGGCUAAUCUCGUGCCAGCAGCCGCCGUAAAAC